ACCGGCGCACGGGUGCGUAACGCGUAUGCAUCUACCUUUUACAGAGGGAUAGCCCAGAGAAAUUUGGAUUAAUACCUCAUAGUUUCGCAUGAAUAAAGUCACAACGGUAAAAGAUGAGCAUGCGUCCCAUUAGCUAGUUGGUAAGGUAACGGCUUACCAAGGCAACGAUGGGUAGGGGUCCUGAGAGGGAGAUCCCCCACACUGGUACUGAGACACGGACCAGACUCCUACGGGAGGCAGCAGUGAGGAAUAUUGGACAAUGGGCGCAAGCCUGAUCCAGCCAUGCCGCGUGCAGGAUGACGGUCUAUGGAUUGUAAACUGCUUUUGCACAGGAAGAAACAACGCUACGUGUAGCGUCUUGACGGUACUGUGAGAAUAAGGAUCGGCUAACUCCGUGCCAGCAGCCGCGGUAAUACGGAGGAUCCAAGCGUUAUCCGGAAUCAUUGGGUUUAAAGGGUCCGUAGGCGGUCUAGUAAGUCAGUGGUGAAAGCCCAUCGCUCAACGGUGGAACGGCCAUUGAUACUGCUAGACUUGAAUUAUUAGGAAGUAACUAGAAUAUGUAGUGUAGCGGUGAAAUGCUUAGAGAUUACAUGGAAUACCAUUUGCGAACGCAGGUUACUACUAAUGGAUUGACGCUGAUGGACGAAAGCGUGGGUAGCGACAGAUAGAUACCCUGGUAGUCCACGCCGA
rnacentral:rRNA from 1 species